CGCUGGCGGCGUGCCUAACACAUGCAAGUCGAACGGAGAGCAUAUGAAGUAUUCGGUACGGAAUGCGUUCUAGUGGCGAACGGGUGAGUAACACGUGGGCAACCUGCCCCAGACUGGGGGAUAACAUUGUGAAAACAGUGCUAAUACCGCAUGACAGGGUUCCGGGCAUCCGGGACUCUUGAAAGGAGAAAUCCGGUCAGGGAUGGGCCCGCGUCCAAUUAGCUAGUUGGUGGGGUAACGGCCCACCAAGGCGACGAUUGGUAGCCGAACUGAGAGGUUGAUCGGCCACAUUGGGACUGAGACACGGCCCAGACUCCUACGGGAGGCAGCAGUGGGGAAUAUUGGGCAAUGGGCGAAAGCCUGACCCAGCGACGCCGCGUGAAGGAUGAAGGUCUUCGGAUUGUAAACUUCUUUGAUCAGGGAAGAAAGAAAUGACGGUACCUGAAAAACAAGCCACGGCUAACUACGUGCCAGCAGCUGC
rnacentral:rRNA from 1 species